CUACGGGCGGCUUACACAUGCAAGUCGAGCGGGGGAUUUCGGUCCUCAGCGGCGGACGGGUGAGUAACACGUAGGAAUCUGCCUUUUGGUGGGGGAUAGCCGGGGGAAACCCCGAUUAAUACCGCAUAUGGCCUAUGGGUCAAAGCCGUAAGGCGCCAGAAGAUGAGCCUGCGUCCGAUUAUUUAGUCCUUGUUGGUGGGGUAACGGCUACCAAGGGUACGAUCGGUAGCUGGUCUGAGAGGACGAUCAGCCACACUGGAACUGAGACACGGUCCAGACUCCUACGGGAGGCAGCAGUGGGGAAUAUUGCGCAAUGGGCGAAAGCCUGACGCAGCCAGCCCGCGUGUGUGAUGAAGGCCUUCGGGUCGUAAAGCACUGUCGUAGGGGAAGAAUCAAUGACGGUACCCUACAAGAAAGCACCGGCUAACCCCGUGCCAGCAGCCGCGGUAAUACGGGGGGUGCAAGCGUUGCUCGGAAUCACUGGGCGUAAAGCGUCCGCAGGUGGGUGUGUGUGUCGGAUGUGAAAGCCCAGGGCUCAACCCUGGAACUGCAUUCGAAACUGCACAUCUUAAGUACGGGAGAGGGAAGCAGAAUUCCUGGUGUAGAGGUGAAAUCGUAGAUAUCAGGAGGAAUACCUGUGGCGAAAGCGGUUCCUGGUCCGAUACUGACGCUGAGGCACGAAAGCGUGGGGAGGCA
rnacentral:rRNA from 1 species